rnacentral:rRNA from 1 species
GACGAACGCUGGCGGCGUGCUUAACACAUGCAAGUCGAACGGAAAGGCCCUGCUUUUGUGGGGUGCUCGAGUGGCGACCGGGUGAGUAACACGUGAGUAACCUGCCCUUGACUUUGGGAUAACUUCAGGAAACUGGGGCUAAUACCGGAUAGGAGUUCCUGCUGCAUGGUGGGGGUUGGAAAGUUUCGGCGGUUGGGGAUGGACUCGCGGCUCAUCAGCUUGUUGGUGGGGUAGUGGCUUACCAAGGCUUUGACGGGUAGCCGGCCUGAGAGGGUGACCGGCCACAUUGGGACUGAGAUACGGCCCAGACUCCUACGGGAGGCAGCAGUGGGGAAGAUUGCACAAUGGGCGGAAGCCUGAUGCAGCAACGCCGCGUGCGGGAUGACGGCCUUCGGGUUGUAAACCGCUUUCGCCUGUGACGAAGCGUGAGUGACGGUAAUGGGUAAAGAAGCACCGGCUAACUACGUG